rnacentral:lncRNA from 1 species
AACACAUUAUCAUCAUCACGUUAUCACAUAGACUUUAUAAUACAACAUUUAUCACGCGUUUGCAUUUCAAUCUUUAAACAGCAUAAUUCCUCUUUACCAGCCUACUAGUAUCCAUGGGGAUCCAUAGGGGUCCUACUACCCGUGAACCCUUAACAUUUAUAAUCUGAUUCCAUGGUCGUCCUCAUACCCCGUCCGGUAUGGGCGCCAAAACCAUGAACCUCAAUACCCCGUCCGGU